CUCCCUACGGGGGGCAGCAGUGAGGAAUAUUGGUCAAUGGGCGGAAGCCUGAACCAGCCAAGUCGCGUGAGGGAAUAAGGCCCUACGGGUCGUAAACCUCUUUUGCCGGGGAGCAAGGGCGGGGACGUGUCCCGGCCCGGAGAGUACCCGGAGAAAAAGCAUCGGCUAACUCCGUGCCAGCAGCCGCGGUAAUACGGAGGAUGCGAGCGUUAUCCGGAUUUAUUGGGUUUAAAGGGUGCGUAGGCGGGCUUUUAAGUAAGCGGUAAAAAUUCGGGGCGCAACCCCGGCCGGCCGUUGAAACUGGG
rnacentral:rRNA from 1 species